rnacentral:rRNA from 1 species
UCGAGCGAACAGACGAGGAGCUUGCUCCUCUGACGUUAGCGGCGGACGGGUGAGUAACACGUGGAUAACCUACCUAUAAGACUGGGAUAACUUCGGGAAACCGGAGCUAAUACCGGAUAAUAUAUUGAACCGCAUGGUUCAAUAGUGAAAGACGGUUUUGCUGUCACUUAUAGAUGGAUCCGCGCCGCAUUAGCUAGUUGGUAAGGUAACGGCUUACCAAGGCAACGAUGCGUAGCCGACCUGAGAGGGUGAUCGGCCACACUGGAACUGAGACACGGUCCAGACUCCUACGGGAGGCAGCAGUAGGGAAUCUUCCGCAAUGGGCGAAAGCCUGACGGAGCAACGCCGCGUGAGUGAUGAAGGUCUUCGGAUCGUAAAACUCUGUUAUUAGGGAAGAACAAAUGUGUAAGUAACUAUGCACGUCUUGACGGUACCUAAUCAGAAAGCCACGGCUAACUACGUGCCAGCAGCCGCGGUAAUACGUAGGUGGCAAGCGUUAUCCGGAAUUAUUGGGCGUAAAGCGCGCGUAGGCGGUUUUUUAAGUCUGAUGUGAAAGCCCACGGCUCAACCGUGGAGGGUCAUUGGAAACUGGAAAACUUGAGUGCAGAAGAGGAAAGUGGAAUUCCAUGUGUAGCGGUGAAAUGCGCAGAGAUAUGGAGGAACACCAGUGGCGAAGGCGACUUUCUGGUCUGUAACUGACGCUGAUGUGCGAAAGCGUGGGGAUCAAACAGGAUUAGAUACCCUGGUAGUCCACGCCGUAAACGAUGAGUGCUAAGUGUUUACGGGGUUUCCGCCCCUUAGUGCUGCAGCUAACGCAUUAAGCACUCCGCCUGGGGAGUACGACCGCAAGGUUGAAACUCAAAGGAAUUGACGGGGACCCGCACAAGCGGUGGAGCAUGUGGUUUAAUUCGAAGCAACGCGAAGAACCUUACCAAAUCUUGACAUCCUCUGACCCCUCUAGAGAUAGAGUUUUCCCCUUCGGGGGACAGAGUGACAGUGGUGCAUGGAUUGUCGUCAGCUCGUGUCGUGAGAUGUUGGUUAGUCCCCGCACGAGC